UAAGAGAGAUGCGAUCUGUAUCGUUUAGGCUGUGUGCUGUGUAGUGUUCAUCUGAAUAGCAGAGUGAAGGUGUGUUCUGUCUAGCUGUUGAUGUACCUUGUGUUGUUCAUGUUCAUGGAAGAAAUUCAGAAAUCUCUUUGAAUUUCCAAAUAUGCUGCUGUGGCUUCGCCUUGUUGCACUGGAGAUUUGAAUCACUGUAGCGCGAAUUGUUGCCUGUGUCGCCAAAAUUGGCAAACGAUCUUUUACAGACGGCAGUUCGGCUCAUGCUUGUGGAUUCAGUUUACUGUUCAAUUAUUUUCUCCGAGAAAGCAGUAAACUAUGCACACAACCGGACAGUUAGCUGAAUUUGGAUCUAAAGGUAAAAAAAAAAAACUUUCGAUGAAAUUCUGUUGGGAAUUGAAAGUCCUGUCAAUACUUGACAUCGUGCGCUGUGCGGAAGCAAAUAGCAUCCACCACAACGAACGUUUCACGCCACAGAAGUCGUCUUGUCUCAGCUGGACUCUGUGAUCCCUGAAGUUUCCACGGAGGCAGAUGACUCCGGGCUUUACUUGAGCUAGCGGCGUCGCCGUGGAGGCUGUCCAUGGGCUGGGUGCAGGUGCAGCAUGCCCUUCACUACCGGGGGUAAAUUUCCGAACUAGCAAAUCUCUGUAAAUUAUUAGCUCCGUUCGGAAAUAAGUGCGCUGUCAGUGACGUCAAAACGCUCAACCCCGUUGUGAACAGCAACUUUCAUCUUGUUUUUUCUGGCCUGAUGGUUGGCAGCAGCAUGUAAAAACAGGCUGUUUCAUCUCCUGCAACACACCAUCUGAUAUUUGCUCUUCUUCGCCACAUUGCAGUCUGCCAGAGAAUCAGCUUCUCAGGCCUCCUUUGGUUUGUAGGAUUUUUGUAGGAAUUCUAUAGGAUAGGAUUUGCAAAGGAAAAAAAAAUUUGAAGCCCUUUGGUUUGUAGGAAUGGAUUCCUAUUCCUAUGUAGGAUAGGAAUCAAUCUUUCACGUUUUGGAGGGAAAAAAACAUUAGCCUAGACUCAAUGGAAAAAAUCCUAUCCUAUGCAUCAAAUGACAUCUCUUUCUCUAUAGGAAUUGACAUGCAUGUCAUCUCACUUCCUUUCCUAUUCCUAUAAAAUUCCUAUCCUAUGAACCAAAGAAGGCCUCAGCCUUUGCCGAAGCAAACUUACUGAAGGUUAACUCUAAAAUAGAGAAAGGCCUCCUUUCUUCUACUGCCUUGAGAUGAUCAACAACCCAUUUGUUAUUGUCAAUUGGGAACCGCGAGUAGCCUUUUGACGGCUCCAAUUCCCGAGAGCAGCCUUGAUGCGCCCCAAUUUGAAGGUGAUUAGUGAGGUUGACGAACUGAUGUGCCUGGUGCCCCUAGUCCAUCCUUCCUGUAUAACGUUUCUGGUUUCCUCCAUGUCCACCCAGUGGUUUUCAAACCGAAAUAAUCUGCAUUUUUGUGUGUCCUUGUUAAACCCCACCAGGAUGGGUGUGUGAUCCGAUGUAAUAACAGUCUCAACCCUAGCAGAAGUUUGAAGGAAGCAUAAAUUCCAAUCCGCAUUGACAAGCACCCUGUCUAGACCAGAGUAGGAUUCCUCUCUUAUUUGACCAGGUAAAAAUUUCUAUUGGCGAUGUCAAUGUCAUUCAGAGCAUUUGUCUCUCAUCCAGGUGUCGAAAACAUCCAUUAGUUUCCAAUUGAUACGGCCACUGAAAUUCUCAUGAUCAUAUCUAUACAUGUUAAAAUCUCCCAGAAUCAUCCAGGGUUCAUUGACAGAGCAGGCAAGUAAAAAAACACUUGUCCACAUCGCCAAGACAACGAACGUUUCAGUUUAGGAAUUUCAUCAGAGCAGUAAAAAAACACGCCUUAUACUUCGGUACACCCCCCUUACAAGUUUACACGAAUCUUAAAGUUACUUAUUAAAAAGGCUAUCGCCAUAUUAGCCUGCAGAUGAAAUGUAUAGAAUAGAUUUAUUUGGAUGCAAAAGACUAUAUUAUUUUUAUUGAUUGAAGGGGUACCUUCUAAUCUUCACCUUUAAUCUGCAUUAAAAUCCGUAAACUUUUAGGUGUACCGAAGCAAAGUUCGUAGUAUUAAGCUGGAACGAAGCAGAGGAGGAUGAUUGCAGAGAGCAGUGUGAACAAGGCAUCAAAAGGCAACAACUUCAUUCCCAGAUGGACUAACAGAGUACAAAGUCGAAACGAUGAUGCCGUACAGGCUCUGAAGGAGUAACACACUGAAGGACACAAGCAAAAUAUAACUGCUAUCUGCUCGACAAUCCAUGGGAGCCGAAGCAAAAUCAAUGACACUUGAAUUGAAAAGGAAGGCACAGGACACUGACGAAGCAGAGGUACCUCUGAAGAGCACAUGUAUCCACAUGUAUGGGCGCACCUAUGCCUCGCUUAUAGCAAGCCAUAGGUUGCGGUCGCGUCAGGCUUCUCACUAAAUGAGCCGGCCCAGCGUGGGAGGCCACUGGCUUGUUUUUUUUCGUGUUCUUUAUUUUUUGAAACUUUCAAAUAAUUUAAAUAUACAUUACAGAAACACUUUACAUAAAGCAUUUUAUAGAAAAAUGUUAAUUAAGCAAUUUAAAAGUUAAAUGUGUAUGAAGAAAAUGUUUCUCAUAUAUACAAAAAAUAUACAAUGUGUAUCAAAAAUGUUGACCAUGAAUUUAAAACAUGUUUAUCAAACAUUUGAAAAAAAUAUUAAUCAUGUAUUCGAAAAAAAUUAAUCAAGCUUUUGAAGAAUGUUAAAUGUGUAUAGAAAAAUGUUUUACAUCUAUACGAGAACUAUAUAUAAAACAAAACAAAUGUGUACGAAAAAUGUUGAUCAUCUGGUUAGAAAAUGUUAAAUGUGUAUAGAGAAAAUGUUUCUCACAUAUAUGAAAAAUGUAUACAAGAAAUAUACAAUAUGUAUGAAAACGUGAUCACAUUUUUUUAAAUGUUAAUCCAGCAUUUGAUGAAAAAUGAUAAUCAAGUAUUUAAAAAUAUAUUAUUGAAGCAUUUGAAAAAUGCUAAAUGUGUAUUAAAAAAUGUUUGUCAUGUAUACGAAAAUAUAUACAAAACAAAUACAAUGUGUAUGAAAAAUGUUGAUCAUGGUUUUAAAAAUAUAUUAAAUGUGUAUGUAAAACAUGUACUGGAAGUAUACAAAAAAUGUAUACUGUGUGUGGAAAACUGUUUAUUGCCAUUAAAAAAUUUCACCGCGUAUUGAAAAAUGUAGACCAUGUGUUAGAAAACACAUUAAUCUUGUAUGUACAAGAUGUUAAACGUGUAUAUAAAAAUGUACUAGAGAUAUAAUAUAAAUGUACAAUAUGUAUGACAAAUAUUAAUAAUAAAAAAAAUUAGUUAUGAAAAACUGUUAAUAAUAUAUUUUAGUAAUAUUAAAUAUGUAUAUAAAUAUGUUUCUGAUGUAUACAAAAAAAUGUAGAAUGUGUACAGAAAAAUGUUCGCAUGUGUUGAAAAAAAGAAAUCGUUGAAAAUCGACAAGAGAAACAAAGAAACCCAAUAAAAACAAAAAAACCAAAAAAUGAAAGAAAAGCAAUGCAAAAGAAUGGAUGCAACGAAAACCAAGAAAGAAACAAGAAAAAAAAUGAAGAAAGCCGAUGAAAACCAGGAAAGAAAUAAAGAAAACCAAAGUAAAAUGAAAAAAAUAGGAAAUUAAAGAAAAAACCCAAUGAAAAUGAAGAAAGAACAAAAUAAAACUGAAAAAAGAAAAUAAAAAAGAAUUAAAGACAGGAAUAGAACGAAGAAAACCUGUAAAAAAUAA
rnacentral:lncRNA from 1 species